UUCUUCACGCCGAUUUCAUUUUCAUUUUCUUUCAUUUUCUUUUCUUUUUAUUUUCAUUUUACUUGGCAUUUUGGGGAUUAAAUGAAUGAGCACAACAAAGGAGAAUACUAAGGUGGAGAAAUCAAGUUCAAGCCACAAAAAAGGGUAUGAGAAGUUCGAAAUCAAGAGAAGAGAAUACUGAAAUAGUGAAUGCACUUUCAAGUAAUGGUGAGGACAGUAGAUUGGAGCCAGAGUCUCCAAUCGGUUGAAAGGCUUUUCUUCUUCAAAUCAUCAUCAGGUGAUUGACCAGAUGCAUAUAUGAGCAUUGAGUCGAUGAUCAUCCAAUACUUCUACAUGCCCCUGCAGUAAUUAGUUUGCAAAAUAUACUUCAUGACCAUUCAUAUAUAUAAUACACACACACACACAUUAACUAAUAUAUUACCUUCAAUAGACUUAAUUAAAUGUUUGAAGGGUAAGGUGUGUACUAUACGUUCACAAUUGUGCAAUAUACUUUAACUGAAGAUGCUCUUUUAGAAAUA